AGGAGACGAAGAGUCAAAAACCCGGGUCAGUCAGACUCAGAACCCCUCCUCGACCUCGAUCUUCCACUCCCCCACCCACGCCGCCGACGAUGCCACAGCAGCACCCACAGCCGCCGGCCGGCUCGCGCCUCCUCGACGCCGUCCCGCUCUUCGUCGUCGUCCUCCUCGCCGCCCACGUCCUAGCCCUCGUGUACUGGAUGUACAGGUUAGCCUCGGACAAGCAGCCGCCGCGGAGGAAGACGCAGUAGCCACCACCACCACGGGCCCCGACGGCUUCGUGCUCGCCUUUGUGUAGCCGGUUGAGGUGAUGAUGGUCAUUUUUCUGUCAUGGGCUUCUCGUCGAGCAAAGUUUGUAUACACUUCUGUAGUAAUAUGGAUCAAAUCGUGAGCUGCGUGAGCAAGAUUUUACCUCUAGAAAGCUUAGGUUGUUCAUUAUUGUUGCAGAGUUUGUGUUUCCGUUUGUUUUAUGGUACCAGUGACAUUUGGUAUAUAAUCAAGAAGAAUUAGUGGAGGACUUGUUGUAUGAAUUGCCUUGGGUUCUUUUUAAUAUGAGAAUUCCAUAAUUGUUCUGUGACA